rnacentral:lncRNA from 1 species
AAAUAUCAUAGAAAUGCUUAGGACAAUGGGCUGGAAGACCUAGCCUCAUAGGAAGAGGAGGGAAGUGAAAGAGAGAGAGAGAGGUAAAGCUAGAGAAAGAAAAAGAAACAGAAGCUAGAUUUGCCUUGUUGAAUAUCUGACCCAAAAGAGGCUAGAUCUGACUCAACGGAGGCAAGAUCAAAAUGAACAAUUAUUGUUGCAUGUUAGAGAUGAAGAUAGACACAAAGUGGAGGUUGCUGCUGCUGCUAUGUGAAGGCUGCUUCUGCGAGGCGUUGGCUAUUGCUGUUGUUAGAUGGUGGAGGCGGUGGCUGUUGCUUCUGGACGAAGGCUCUCUUUCUCAAGGCAGCGGUGAUGGCAGCAACUGCUGGGUGAUGGUGGUGGCUGCUACUGCUUCUAGGCGGUGGUGAUGGUGGUUGUUAGUGCUGCUAGGUGGAGGUGAUGGCGGCUGCUCUAUUGAAAUGCUUGGGCGGAGGUGGAGUUCUUGGUCGUGGCUAGCAAACCCUAUCAGAGCUCUUGGGGUGUAGUUAACUAUGGUUAGAUCUACAAUUGAGUUUGAAUGGAUCUUCAUUCAUAUUAUCAUGAGUAAUAGUUGUAAUUUGGCUUAUACAAUUGAAUCUCAA